AAUAAAAAAGGAAUGUUCCCAACGUCUUUUAAAAGAGCCAAGUGGGUAAAAAUCCAUAAUUGCAAGUAUUCUCGAUUUUGAUACUCCCAAAGUCAAAAACUAGGAAAAAUAUCAGUCAAUUCUAAGUACUAUUAUUCAGAAAACAACUCUUAAAAUUUUUAGUUAAGGAGCUGGAGAGAAGGUUCAGUGGUUAAGAGCACUGACUACUCUUGCCAAGGAACAGGGUUCAGUUCCCAGUGCCCACAUCUCUACCAUUCAAUACCAGGGGAUCUGAUGCCCUCUUCUGGCCUUCACGGGCACUGCCCUAGUGUAAUCCACAGAUGUUCAAGCAGGCAACACACACACACACCUUUAAACAACAAAACUAUAGUUAAAGUAGCUGAGAAACUAGGGUCUAUCACCAAGAUGUAGUUUACAAGGGCUAAUCUUACAAACUACAGAUUUAAGAACAAUCUAUGUUCACACUAAACAUCUUCCAAAAUUAGUGCCACAAAUACACGUGUAUUUUUUUUUAAAUAUUAAGUGCUUAAAUUUGUAUGCCAUCCUCCUGUAGGGCCAUGCUAAUCUCAGUAUUAUGUGCUGCCCAAGUGAGCUCGACACACAUUUUAAGAUGUCAUCUACUUGUUCUUUGCUAGGUGUUAAUCUAUAAUGUAAUUUGAUGUAGUGUACAUUAGACAUACUAACUACAACCUUUAUUGUACAUUCCUUAUCAUUAGGACUGUGUUGAAAAGCAACUUUAGGCAACGAAGAUCUCAUGCUUUAAAAUUAAGGGCACAACACUUCACGUGCGUUACUCGACACUGUUCAGUACGAUACUCUCUGAACUAUUUCAGCGCAGUCCCCAAAGCUCAUUUUAGAUAGUACUAGUUUCUUUCAUUACGUUACUAAAAAUUUAUUACAAGAUGUUACUUCCCGACCUCAAAGUUUUACAGUGAGUUUUUUGUUUUGUUUUUGAGACAGGGUAGCCCUAGCUGUCCUGGAGCUUGCUCUACAGACCAGGCUGGCCUCGAAUUCAGAGAUCCGCCUGCCUCUGCUUCCCGGUUCACAGUGAGUUUUUAAUCUCCUAAAUUUUAAAAGCAGACUUACAAUUUUUCUUUUUCCACUUUCACUCAGUGGCUUCGAAAGUAGGCAAAAGUUUAAAGAUGCACUUAUAACAUCUGACCCAGGACUAAUUUGCAUUUGUAACGGAAAUUUGCAUUUGUAGCAGAGAAAGUAGCUGGGCCUCACCAUCUCAGGCCAGGUUUGAGCAGCCACCGUAAGCCCCAGAACUCCGGUUGGCCAACUAAGUCCCUGCAGCGGCUGCCAGCCGCGUCUCCCUCGCCCGGGCCCGUCCUCCUGAUUGUGGCCGCGCACGCGCGCUGCCGGCAGGGACCGGCGCGGGUCCCUGGCAAAGGACCGGGUAGUGAGAGCGGGAGGCGGCCCGAACGUCCCCCGCCGAGCGGGAGGCCGCCCGGAACUUUCCUUCACGCCCAAACUUGACCAGAUAAAAAGGGCCCGGACAGGAACCGGGGAGGGCGCCCCGGUCCGCGACCCCCGCACGGCCAGCGGGAGCUGCGGGCAGGGACGGCGGGACCACAGCCGCGCGCCCGGCCGGCCGGCCGGCUCACCGUGUCGGAGUCGGUGUUGAGAUGCUGGAAGGGUACAAUAGAAGUUGCCAAGCCCAGGGAUCCUCCUGGAGAAAUUCCAUUUUAGAAGUAGCUUUGACUCAGUUUUGAAGAUAAAGGAUGGCUUUGGACCUGGUUGGACGUGUGAGCAGCACCAUCUGUCCAGAACUACCCAUGAAGCACAGACUGAGAAAUGACUCAGUUCUGGGAACUGGAAUCUACUCCAAACUCCAAAUGCAUCAAGAGGAAUUACUGAAGUGAGUAGGAAAAGAGUGAACAUUGACUUGAAUGAGUUACCUACAUCCAGGAUGUAAUUCACAAGCAUAGUAAAUGCUUUGGAACACUUAGCAGGUGAAGCAUCAUGCUUAGAGGCAUGAUUAAUCCCAAAGAUGGGAGGAGAAAGACCACUGACCCAAAGCAUCAUGGCCAAGUUAAUUAAGUCAAGUAUUUAAUUAAAGCAAGCUUGUUAAUAUUCUGACCCACACCUGGCACCACCCUGUCGUAAAAGCCUUAUUUUAAGGAAAAACUCCUCCCCUUCCUCUCUCUUCGACUUUUCCUCCUACGAGGUGUGCACUGUCUACCCCCUCUCUUUCUCUCUCUUUUCUCCAUCUUUCUUUCCUAUCUUUCUCUUCAUCUCUCUAUUAUAAUAAACCAUUUCCAAGGCCGA